rnacentral:rRNA from 1 species
UACGUAGGGACCGAGCGUUGUCCGGAAUCAUUGGGCGUAAAGAGCGUGUAGGCGGCUAUUUAAGUCCUGCGUGAAAUCCUGCGGCUCAACCGCAGACGGUCGUGGGAAACUGGAUGGCUAGAGUGCGGGAGAGGAGAGUGGAAUUCCCGGUGUAGCGGUGAAAUGCGCAGAUAUCGGGAAGAACACCGGUGGCGAAGGCGGCAUCCUGGACCGGUAUUGACACUGAGGCGCGAAAGCCAGGGGAGCAAACGGG